UAAACGUCCCAGUUCGGAUUGUAGUCUGCAACCCGACUACAUGAAGCUGGAACCGCUAGUAAUCGCGGAUCAGAAUGCCGCGGUGAAUACGUUCCCGGGUCUUGUACACACCGCCCGUCACACCAUGGGAGUCGGAAAUGCCCGAAGUCGGUGACCGAACCGAAAGGAAGGAGCCGCCGAAGGCAGGUCUGGUGACUGGGGUGAAGUCGUAACAAGGUAAC
rnacentral:rRNA from 1 species